UUUAGGUAGCUUAUCUUUUUGGCGGCUAUAAGUGAAAAAGCUUUCAAAGGGAAAAGAGAUCCGAUAGGAGUCGAAGCUUGAACUCAUGAUUCGGUAUUCGAUUCACAGUGCAAUCGGAUCUUAAUCUGCGCCUAACCCAGGUGAAAGAAUCAAUCGAUAUACCAUGAUUACCUCCCAAAAGGUGCUUGUAUUACCAGAUCAGCUUGUGACCCGUUGGAUCUGGGUUUCGGACUGGUCAAGGGUUCGAUCCGGUACUUGCUCAUCUUCAAGAGGAUCGUGUUUGCAUCUUGACAAUUUCCUCUGCUUUGGGAUAUGAUCAAAUCUACUCAUGGUGGUGGCAUUUUCGACAAACAUUAUAGGAUCUUUUGCUGUUCUUCUAGAUCAAUCACAUAGAGGAAAUAGUUAUGUUUUUAAUAUGUAUCAGUCAUGUUGUCCAUAACAUUGUUGUUGUACGCAAAUAAUAAAUUUGUUUCAUUGUUGUUUAA